CUCCGCCCACUCCUAGCGAGAAAAAGCGAGGCGCGAAUGAAAGGAAACCUUUAAGUUCAAAAGGCCAGAGUCCAGAAGCCUGUGAAAAAGUACGAAGAAUAUAUUUUACUUCGAGAAGAGUGAAAGGAACAAAUGCAAUUUAUGUAGCUCAUUAAAAGUUGAUUCUUCAAUUUGAUGGAUAAAGACAACUCUGUUCAAGAAAAAAGUCCUGGUACUGAAAUUCAGGUGGACAGACUUGGUGG
rnacentral:sRNA from 1 species